rnacentral:rRNA from 1 species
GAUGAACGCUGGCGGCGUGCCUAAUACAUGCAAGUCGAGCGAACAGAUGAGGAGCUUGCUCCUCUGACGUUAGCGGCGGACGGGUGAGUAACACGUGGAUAACCUACCUAUAAGACUGGGAUAACUUCGGGAAACCGGAGCUAAUACCGGAUAAUAUAUUGAACCGCAUGGUUCAAUAGUGAAAGACGGUUUUGCUGUCACUUAUGGAUGGAUCCGCGCCGCAUUAGCUAGUUGGUAAGGUAACGGCUUACCAAGGCAACGAUGCGUAGCCGACCUGAGAGGGUGAUCGGCCACACUGGAACUGAGACACGGUCCAGACUCCUACGGGAGGCAGCAGUAGUGAAUCUUCCGCAAUGGGCGAAAGCCUGACGGAGCAACGCCGCGUGAGUGAUGAAGGUCUUCGGAUCGUAAAACUCUGUUAUUAGGGAAGAACAAAUGUGUAAGUAACUAUGCACGUCUUGACGGUACCUAAUCAGAAAGCCACGGCUAACUACGUG